GAGGAUCAAGAAUCGGAGUACUCGAAAUUCGAUUUCCAUUACAUUGAAAUAAAACCACCAAAGUUAUUGGCAUGGAAAGAGACAGAAAAGCAAAGCAGACGCAGCUGAAACCAGACAAAGUCCAAUUUGGACAAGCAAAAUCUCCAGGCAGCCCAAAUGGACCGCCUGUAUUUGAUACAUGCUUCUCAUUCCUCUGAAACUUGCACCAUUAGUUAGACAGUGCUCCACCCGAAAUAUUUUCUGUAACUGUAAUGGAAUACUUUCUCCGCCUAUACAUUCAGUUGAUGAAAAUAAAUAUAUUUGUAUUCAGUAAUAUUUUCAUGCUUACAACACCUACUCAUACACUCCUUGAUUAAAAAUUUUGGUUAUUUUAUAACAAGUCAAACUAAGACAAG